rnacentral:rRNA from 1 species
CAGCAGUAGCCGCGGGAAUACGUAGGUCCCGAGCGUUGUCCGGAUUUAUUGGGCGUAAAGCGAGCGCAGGCGGUUAGAUAAGUCUGAAGUUAAAGGCUGUGGCUUAACCAUAGUACGCUUUGGAAACUGUUUAACUUGAAUGCAGAAGGGGAGAGUGGAAUUCCAUGUGUAGCGGUGAAAUGCGUAGAUAUAUGGAGGAACACCGGUGGCGAAAGCGGCUCUCUGGUCUGUAACUGACGCUGAGGCUCGAAAGCGUGGGGAGCAAACAGGAUUAGAUACCCCGGUAGUCCCUGUCUCUUAUACA